GGUUAAGCGACUAAGCGUACACGGUGGAUGCCCUGGCAGUCAGAGGCGAUGAAGGACGUGCUAAUCUGCGAAAAGCGUCGGUAAGGUGAUAUGAACCGUUACAGCCGGCGAUGUCCGAAUGGGGAAACCCAGUGCAAUUCGUUGCACUAUCGUUAACUGAAUACAUAGGUUAACGAGGCGAACCGGGGGAACUGAAACAUCUAAGUACCCCGAGGAAAAGAAAUCAACCGA
rnacentral:rRNA from 5 species